rnacentral:rRNA from 1 species
GACGAACGCUGGCGGCGUGCCUAACACAUGCAAGUCGAACGGAGAAAGGGGGAGCUUGCUCCCCCCGGAUCAGUGGCGAACGGGUGAGUAACACGUGGACAAUCUGCCUCUAACUCUGGGAUAAGCGCUGGAAACGACGUCUAAUACCGGAUACGACUCUGAAGGGCAUGCUUCCCGCGUGAAAAGAACUUCGGUUUGGGCUUAUCGCGCGGCCUAUGCGCUUUUUGGUGAGUGAACGGCUCACGAAGGCCGCGAGGGGUAGCCCGCAUGCGAGAGGGACCGCCCACCAUGGGCCUGCGAGACGGAGCAGACUCGAACGUGCCGCAGCAGUGGGGAAUAUUGCACAGUGGGCGCAAGCCUGAUGCAGCAGCGCCGCGUGAGGGACGACCGCCUUCGGGUUGUAAACAUAUUUUAGCAGAGAUGAAGCGAAAGUGACGGUACCUGAAGAAAAAGCACCGGCUAACUACGUG